rnacentral:misc_RNA from 1 species
GGAGAAGAUAACCGGAGGACUGAAGCGUUGAUUAUUACAGUCGAUGGAAUGAUAUGGAGUGGAUGUGCAAAUGGAUUACUUGUCCAAUGGGAUAGAAAUGGCAAUCGCUUGCAAGAUUUCCAGUAUCACACAUUCUCCGUUCAAUGUUUAUGCACAUAUGGGUCACGGAUUUGGGCAGGUUAUGCUAGUGGUUAUAUUCAGGUAUUGGAUCUUAGUGGUAAUCUACUUGGAGGAUGGAUAGGUCAUAGUAGCCCCGUAAUAGAUUUUUCUGUUGGUGGAGGUUACGCUUUCUCUUUGGCUAAUCAUGGUGGUAUACGGGGUUGGAGUGUGAUAUCUCCUGCACCACUGGAUGGUAUUCUGCGUUCGGAGUUAGCUAGCAAGGAAUUUUUGUAUACUAGGCUAGAGAAUUUUAAAAUAUUGGCUGGUACAUGGAAUGUUGGACAAGGAAGAGCUUCACCUGAUUCACUUAUAUCAUGGUUAGGUUCUGCAGCAGCAGAUGUUGGCAUUGUUGUUGCUGGCUUGCAGGAGGUGGACAUGGGUGCUGGUUUUCUUGCAAUGUCUGCUGCUAAAGAAUCAAUGCAGGUGGGUCUUGAAGGAAGUUCUGCUGGUCAAUGGUGGUUGGAAAUGAUUGGAAAAACCUUGGAUGAGGGAUCAACUUUCAUUCGUGUUGGCUUCAGGCAGUUGGCGGGCCUGGUUAUUUCUGUCUGGGUCAGAAGAAAUAUUAGUCGUUAUAUCGGGGAUGUUGAUGUUGCAGCAGUACCUUGUGGUUUCGGCCGUGCAAUUGGGAACAAGGGAGCCGUAGGAUUAAGGAUGAGAGUAUAUGAUCGUACUGUGUGCUUUGUGAACUGUCACUUUGCUGCACAUCUAGAAGCUGUCGGUCGCCGGAAUGCUGAUUUUGACCAUGUUUAUCGAAGUAUGAUCUUUAGUCGACCAUCAAACUUUCUCAAUGCUGCAGCUGCUGGUGUCUCAUCUGCGAUUCAAAUGCUUCGCAGUGCAAAUGGUGCGUUUAACUCUGCAGAAGCAACUCCUGAGCUUUCU